rnacentral:misc_RNA from 1 species
GAUGAAGAACGUAGCGAAAUGCGAUACGUAAUGUGAAUUGCAGAAUUCAGUGAAUCAUCGAGUCUUUGAACGCACAUUGCGCCCCCUGGUAUUCCGGGGGGCAUGCCUGUCCGAGCGUCAUUGCUGCCCUCAAGCACGGCUUGUGUGUUGGGCCUCCGUCCUCCUCCCGGGGGACGGGCCCGAAAGGCAGCGGCGGCACCGCGUCCGGUCCUCGAGCGUAUGGGGCUUCGUCACCCGCUCUUGUAGGCCCGGCCGCCGCUUGCCGACACAUCAAUCUUUUUUCCAGGUUGACCUCGGAUCAGGUAGGGAUACCCGCUGAACUUAAGCAUAUCAAAAGCGGAGGA